GCUGGGUGUGGUGGUGGGCACCUGUAAUCCCAGCUACUUGGGAGGCUGAGACAGGAGAAUCGCUUGAACCCGGGAGGCGGAGGUUGCAGUGAGCAGUGAUCGCGCCACUGCACUGCAGCCUGGGCAACAGAGUGAGAAUCUGUCUCAA
rfam:Homo sapiens chromosome 17, GRCh38 reference primary assembly.